rnacentral:tRNA from 1 species
GGCUAGGUAGCUCAGUUGGUUAGGGCAUUGACUUGACAAGCCAAGGAUGCCAGCUCAAGCCCAAGUCA